rnacentral:rRNA from 1 species
CAGUCGCCGCGGUAAUACGAAGGGUGCAAGCGUUACUCGGAAUUACUGGGCGUAAAGCGUGUGUAGGUGGUUGUUUAAGUCUGUCGUGAAAGCCCUGGGCUCAACCUGGGAAUUGCGAUGGAUACUGGGCGACUAGAGUGCGGUAGAGGAUAGUGGAAUUUCCGGUGUAGCAGUGAAAUGCGUAGAGAUCGGAAGGAACAUCUGUGGCGAAGGCGACUGACUGGACAAGUAUUGACGCUGAGGUGCGAAAGCGUGGGGAGCAAACAGGAUUAGAUACCCCAGUAGUCCCUGUCUCUUAUAC